rnacentral:rRNA from 1 species
UGCCAGCAGCCGCGGUAAUACGAAGGGUGCAAGCGUUACUCGGAAUUACUGGGCGUAAAGCGUGCGUAGGUGGUUGUUUAAUUCUGUUGUGAAAGCCCUGGGCUCAACCUGGGAAUUGCAGUGGAUACUGGGCGACUAGAGUGUGGUAGAGGAUAGUGGAAUUUCCGGUGUAGCAGUGAAAUGCGUAGAGAUCGGAAGGAACAUCUGUGGCGAAGGCGACUAUCUGGGCCAACACCGACACUGAGGCACGAAAGCGUGGGGAGCAAACAGGAUUAGAUACCCUGGUAGUCCACGCCCUAAACGAUGCGAACUGGAUGUUGGGUGCAACUUGGCACCCAGUAUCGAAGCUAACGCGUUAAGUUCGCCGCCUGGGGAGUACGGUCGCAAGACUGAAACUCAAAGGAAUUGAUCGGGGGCCCGCACAAG